ACCUCGCCGGCCACCACGCCCUGGCCCGCGCCGCCUGCUCCGCGGCUCCCUCGCCGGCGAACUCCCUUCGUCCUCGCCGACCGUCCUCGCCAACAAAUCAGGACGAAGGAGGGGAGAUAAGGGGAAAUGGAUCCCCUUUUCGUGCAAAGGGCGCGACUUGGACGCUACGGCCGCUGCCUCUCCCUCGCCGGGCACAACGCCCUCGCCCGUGUCGCCCGUCCGAGCUUGCCUAGUCCUGCUCCCCAGAACCCGAGCUAGCUUCGUCCCUAGGUUCGUCCGCUUACCCUCCCCAAGAUCGCCCGCUUGUCUCGGAGGUCCGGCGGCCCGUCCAUCGACCAGUUUGUUGCGAGAACAGAGGGCGGGAGCAGGGACUCACACGGCAGCACAGACAGCGAGUUCGGGCUCUCGGACCUCGCCGAUAAGAUCUUGAAACUUUGGAGAGCAAUGUGUUCCCUCACAUGCCGUAAUUAAAGGCAACUUUGCAGAUGUGAUGAUAUUGGGAAAAGGCUAUCACGCUCAUGAUCUUUUCUGAGAUUCAUAAAAAUAUGAUAGUUCGAUAUCAUUGUUAGUAUUUGUUUGGAACCACCUAUCGUGAUGCAUGUGUUGCACACUUGCACGGAUGGACUCGGGCUAGUCGAGUUGGAGCUGCCAGGCGAGACCAUGAGAGUCGAGACAGCAAGCCGGGGAGCAGGUCUUCCCCUCCCUGCUGCAGCAGGAACCUGGCCGCAAGCUGCUGUGUUCGCGGCAUGAUGAUGACAAGCACGGCGAUCUGCUGAGCCAGGUACCGCCUCCUUCUUCUCCUUGCUCAAAAGUAUUGUCUUUGAAGGUUGCUGAAGAAUAUCAUCUUCUUCCUGAUACCUUGUAUCUGACAGUGAACUACGGAGUAUAUUGGCCGUUUUUUUUCUGACAAUAAGAUCAAUCGCCAAAGGCUACAAUUACUUGGUGUUGCUUGCAUGCUUAUAGCUGCGUAAUAUAUUAAGAUCCAGCAAGUUCAUUUUUAUUAUCUUCAUUUACUCUGUAUUUUCAUUUCAGUGGUUCGCAUACUAAUUUUGCUAGAUCAGUAGAAAGAUCUCUGAACUGUUGAAAAUAAGACGGUGUACCACCAGUACAACUUUAUCUAUGUUUCCGGAUGUUAUCUAUGGUACCCAUUACCCAAGCUAACAUUACAUUUAGCUGCCCUGUCAUAUUUCUAUAACUCCAUACAGCUUAUCCACUUUCCAGCAUGUCUGCUUGUAGUGAAAUGGUCAUUUUAUCAAUAAAUAUAGUGUUACUGCAGUAAUAUGGCUAUUUUAUCAAUAAAUAGCAAACGUGACCAGUUCAUAGGACAUGACCACCAUGGCACCAUAUGUCUAUCCUAGUACUGAUUGGUUAAUUUCCUUUGAUAGUGUUAUUUCAACUGCAAUUCCAUUACUAUAUUUUUUGCCUAUAUUUCCAUACAUACAUCUGGGGCAAGGAAAAAUUGAACUAAAACUGAAGUUUAAACUGCAGUACCUUCUUUUGGACAGCUGGAGUAUAUAUAGUCUUGAUUUGUUCUCUGAUUAUUUUCAUUUAUUUUCGGUGAAUAAUACCCUAAAUUGGAAGAAAAAAAAGUGUGCACAACAGUUGAGACGGGAGGCUAAUUUGCUACUGCUGAAGAUUUUUUUUGCAUGUAAACUGUAAAGCAUGCAUGUUGAUUGCUAUUACACUUUUAUGGUCUUCAACUAUAUGUUAGAAAGAUUUGUUCCCAACUCCUUGCGGAUCUCCUUUUGUCAAGACAUACAUGUUGACUUGCAAUUGCUAAUGAUAAGAUUCAGCAAGAUGCACUAUGCCCAAUUUGGACCAAACCGCAUCCAAAUUGAAAGAACAAGUUUAGUUUAUAUACAUGAAAGCUUUUUCUGCAUUAUUGAUGGUGAUUUGCAGCAUUAGCCUUCCCUCUCCCAGUGAACUGAACUAUCGGUGCACUGAAACUAUGAGCUGACCCUGGAACUUUUUCAGCUGUAGGAGGCUAGUUGGAG